rnacentral:sRNA from 1 species
UCCCAGGAUUAGAUGAUCACCAGCGGCC